rnacentral:rRNA from 1 species
GAUGAACGCUGGCGGCGUGCCUAAUACAUGCAAGUCGAGCGAACGGACGAGAAGCUUGCUUCUCUGAUGUUAGCGGCGGACGGGUGAGUAACACGUGGAUAACCUACCUAUAAGACUGGGAUAACUUCGGGAAACCGGAGUUAAUACCGGAUGAUAUUUUGAACCGCAUGGUUCAAAAGUGAAAGACGGUCUUGCUGUCACUUAUAGAUGGAUCCGCGCUGCAUUAGCUAGUUGGUAAGGUAACGGCUUACCAAGGCAACGAUGCAUAGCCGACCUGAGAGGGUGAUCGGCCACACUGGAACUGAGACACGGUCCAGACUCCUACGGGAGGCAGCAGUAGGGAAUCUUCCGCAAUGGGCGAAAGCCUGACGGAGCAACGCCGCGUGAGUGAUGAAGGUCUUCGGAUCGUAAAACUCUGUUAUUAGGGAAGAACAUAUGUGUAAGUAACUGUGCACAUCUUGACGGUACCUAAUCAGAAGGCCACGGCUAACUACGUG